AGAGUUUGAUCAUGGCUCAGGACGAACGCUGGCGGCGUGCUUAACACAUGCAAGUCGAACGGUGAAGCCCUUCGGGGUGGAUCAGUGGCGAACGGGUGAGUAACACGUGGGUAACCUGCCCCUCACUCUGGGAUAACUCCGGGAAACCGGGGCUAAUACCGGAUAUGACCUCUCUGGGCAUCCUCGGAGGUGGAAAGUUUUUCGGUGAGGGAUGGACCCGCGGCCUAUCAGCUUGUUGGUGGGGUAAUGGCCUACCAAGGCUUUGACGGGUAGCCGGCCUGAGAGGGCGACCGGCCACACUGGGACUGAGACACGGCCCAGACUCCUACGGGAGGCAGCAGUGGGGAAUAUUGCACAAUGGGCGAAAGCCUGAUGCAGCGACGCCGCGUGAGGGAUGACGGCCUUCGGGUUGUAAACCUCUUUCAGCAGGGACGAAGCGCAAGUGACUGUACCUGCAGAAGAAGCACCGGCUAACUACGUGCCAGCAGCCGCGGUA
rnacentral:rRNA from 1 species